GUUACACUUAUAAUGCAAUAAAAAAUGUUUGGUUAUAAUUAAUGAAAGUAUUGUAAGGAUUAAUUUUUAAAUUUAUUAAGUGAAAUUUUUAAAGUUAAAAUAAGUUUGUAAAUAUUAUAUGAGGUUGAUAAAUUUAGGCUAAAAGACUAGGAUUAGAUACCCUAUUAUUCUAAACGGCACUUAGAUUACCAGGUUAGUAGUAGUUAUGGUCUUGAAAAUUAAAGAAGUUGGCGGUAUUUUAGUCUAUUCAGAGGAACCUGUCCUAUAAUCGAUGAUCCACGAUUUUUAUUACUUAUUUUAUUAGUUUAUAUAUCGCCGUAGUUUGAACAUUUUUGAAAAAAAGAAAUGUUCAUGAUUUUUUAUGAGAAAGGAAUUCAGGUCAAGGUGUAGCUUAUAAAUAAGAAGAGAUGGGUUACAAUAAAUUUAUUUAUAUGGAUUAAUAAAUGAAAUUUUAUUAUGAAAAUGGAUUUGAUGGUAAUUUUAUUUAAAUAUAUAUUAUGAUUCUAGCUCUAAGAUAUGUACAU
rnacentral:rRNA from 1 species